rnacentral:rRNA from 1 species
GAUGAACGCUGGCGGCGUGCCUAAUACAUGCAAGUCGAGCGAACAGAUGAGGAGCUUGCUCCUCUGACGUUAGCGGCGGACGGGUGAGUAACACGUGGAUAACCUACCUAUAAGACUGGGAUAACUUCGGGAAACCGGAGCUAAUACCGGAUAAUAUAUUGAACCGCAUGGUUCAAUAGUGAAAGACGGUUUUGCUGUCACUUAUAGAUGGAUCCGCGCCACAUUAGCUAGUUGGUAAGGUAACGGCUUACCAAGGCAACGAUGCGUAGCCGACCUGAGAGGGUGAUCGGCCACACUGGAACUGAGACACGGUCCAGACUCCUACGGGAGGCAGCAGUAGGGAAUCUUCCGCAAUGGGCGAAAGCUUGACGGAGCAACGCCGCGUGAGUGAUGAAGGUCUUCGGAUCGUAAAACUCUGUUAUUAGGGAAGAACAAAUGUGUAAGUAACUAUGCACGUCUUGACGGUACCUAAUCAGAAAGCCACGGCUAACUACGUG